CUUCAUCGAGGCACACGUUAAAGAUCGUUCCGCGUUGAGAGUCUAACACCAGUUGUAAAACCAUUUACAACCGGUAGCGCUGGAUCCCUUGGCACGUCAUUCGAUGAAGACCGUUGCAAAUUGCGAUAAAGUGAUGUGAUGCGCAAGUCCACC
rnacentral:rRNA from 1 species